GUGCCUACACUGCAAGUCGCACGGGGUUUAAGAGGAAGCUUGCGAAUCUUAAACCUAGUGGCGCACGGGUGAGUAACGCGUGGAUGACCUGCCUGGUAGACCGGGAUAACAGCUGGAAACGGCUGCUAAUACCGGAUACGCUCUGGUGGACGCAUGUUCAGCAGAGGAAAGCUUUAGUGCUAUCAGAUGGGUCCGCGUCCCAUUAGCUAGUUGGUGGUGUAAGAGACCACCAAGGCGACGAUGGGUAGCCGGCCUGAGAGGGCGACCGGCCACACUGGGACUGAGACACGGCCCAGACUCCUACGGGAGGCAGCAGUGGGGAAUCUUCCGCGAUGGGCGAAAGCCUGACGGAGCAACGCCGCGUGAGGGAAGAAGGCCUUCGGGUUGUAAACCUCUGUCUUCAAGGAAGAAGUAAUGACGGUACUUGGAGAGGAAGCCCCGGCUAACUACGUGCCAGCAGCCGCGGUAAAACGUAAGGGGCGAGCGUUGUCCGGAAUUACUGGGCGUAAAGGGCGCGUAGGUGGUACAUUAAGUCAGAGGUGAAAGAUCGGGGCUCACCGCGAGAUUGCCUCUGAUCUGGUGGACUUGAGUGCAUGAGAGGGGAGCGGAAUUCCCAGUGUACGGUGAAAUGCGUAGAUUUGGGAGGAACACCGGUGGCGAAUGCGGCUCUCUAGACUGUAACUGACACUGAGGCGCGAAAGCGUGGGGAGCAAACAGGAUUAGAUACCCUGGUAGUCCACGCCGUAAACGAUGAGUGCUACGUGUUGGAGGUGUCGACCCCUCCUGUGCCGUAUUUAGCACAAUAAGCACUCCGACUGGGGAGUACGGUGGCAACACUGAAACUCAAAGGACUUGACGGGGGCCGCACUAGCGGAUGAGUAUGUGGUUUAAUUCGACGCAACCCGAAGAACCUUACGAGGUCUUGACAUCCUCUGACGGAUCUACAGAUAUGGCUUUCAUCAUUCGCGAUGACAGAUAUACAGGUGGUGCAUGCGUGUCAUCAUCUCGUGUCCUGAUAUGUUGGGUUAGUUCCACAUCGAGCGCAACCCUUACAUUACUUGUCACCGAAUUAAGUUCUGCACUCUAAUGUGACUGUCCUUCACAAACGCAUGUAUCGUGGGAUGACGUUCAUCAUCAGGCCUCUAUGUCUGGGAUAAUCCGUAUACUAUGUCCGUACGAACUGAGCAAAGCCUAAGC
rnacentral:rRNA from 1 species